AUGCAAAUCACCUAGAGAUCUUGUUAGAAUGCAGAUUCUGAUUCGAAAGGUCUGGUGGGUUCUAAGAGUCUAGUUUCUAACUAGCUCCCAGGUGAUGCCUGU
rnacentral:pre_miRNA from 1 species